UACGUAGGUGGCGAGCGUUGUCCGGAAUUACUGGGUGUAAAGCGCGCGUAGGCGGUCGGCCAAGUCUGCGGUGAAAUCGCUCGGCUCAACUGGGGAGGGUCACGCGAUACUGAUCGACUCGAAGGCAGGAGAGGGUAGUGGAAUUCCCGGUGUAGUGGUGAAAUGCGUAGAUAUCGGGAGGAACACCAGUGGCGAAGGCGACUACCUGGCCUGUUCUUGACGCUGAGGCGCGAAAGCUAGGGGAGCAAACGGG
rnacentral:rRNA from 1 species